ACAGAUUUGUUUUGUUCUGGAUUUUUUUUCCCCCAGAACUGGGAAGCUCUAAACCUGAUUUAAAGAGACAGGCUCCUGAGAAGGGAGGAUUCCUGGCCUUAGCAUGAAUUAUUCAGGCUGGAGAGGCUGACACUUGAUCCGCAGGCCAUUCGGGUAUCAGCAGAGCUGGUUGGAAUAGAGGCUCCCCACCUCCUCCCAAGAAUCAGUCUCUUUCUCCUGAAUUGGGUGCUUCCCGUCUAAAUUCUCCUGGAACCAAUUUCUCUCUGUCCAAGUUCCCCAAGGAAUCAAGUCUGCGAGCCAUUGGGGCUGAGGGAUCUCUGUUCUUUGGAGGAACAGCGCUCUCCAUCUUAGAUUUGCCAGUGUUCAGUAUGCAUUAAGUGUUCAAUAAAUGUGUGUCCACUUGAGUCUGAGGCUGUGUGUUUAUUCUCUGAUGCAUCUGGUGGAAGUCUCUUUUCUUGGACUGUUUGCCCCAGCUGGGGUGCUCUCCUCUUGAUUCUGUUUCUCCAGUCCAGUCAGCUGUCCCUCAGGACUUGUGAGUUUUGCCCCCUUCAGGGAGCCCUCAUGGCUUCCCUCUCCAUCCUUUGAACUUCACUGAUCAAUUAGAGGGCUAAGACUCCCCUGAUCUUCUUGACUGUCAGCAGCUAGGGCUCAGGUCUGGUCUAAUUUCUUAGGGAUCAGUACAGAGAAGGCACCAGGGAAUAUUUGCUGACUGAAAUAAUGAUUUAAAAAUCUGUGACUCGAGCCUCUCAUCCCUAUGAGGCAAGCUCGGUGAGGACCCCUCAUCUACACUUCAUACCAGGAGAUAGCUGCUCAGAAAUGUUAAGUGCUUUCCCCAAGGUUGCACACCUGACUGGGACCUGAGCCAGAUAGAAGCUCGGGUUUCUUGCCCAUCUCCUUUGCCGCAGCCCCCCCUCAUCCUAGGAUCCCUCUCUCCUGGGAGUGUGGCUGGGUCAGAUCCCAGGGGAGCCUGUGGGCAAAGAGCUCACGCCCUCAGGGUUUCCUUAGGACUCGGAAGAAGCGAGGCACCCCUCGCCACCCAAGCAGAGUGAUCAUCUGCCCUUUGCCCAGAUGAGUACCCCUCAUGUCAGCCACACUGGAUCUUCACGCUUGCUUGAAUUUAUUACUCCACUAGGUCCCAGAGCCCUUCUCUUAGUAUUCCAAGGUGUUGUCUCUACCUGAGCCUCUAGUGCCUUCGCUGGGCCUUUUCUGCUGGCACAGACCCUGCUGUUGAUCAGCUCCACUAAGCCUUGGUAGGGAGCACAGAGUGUGAUGACGUCCCUGAGAUCACCCAGCAGGUAGCCCCUUCUCCAGCUCUGUUUUGUCAUCAGAGGUGUGUCAAUAUUAUUAAAGUCCUUGGACACACCUCAGUUUCCCUGUCUGCAAAAAAGUGUGUGUGGAUGGGAUGGUCCUGGGGGGCCUAGUAGUCUUGUGCCCCUUGGCAUUUUAGGGAUGGGGGUCAGGGAGGGGAAGGUCAUACUGGGAUUUGCCCAAGUUGGUGCCCCCACCUUCUCAAUAUAUGACCUUGAACUUGGUACCACCCCAAUUAAGGCCUUGGUUGCCCGACUAGAAAGUGGUAGGGGUGGCUGGGUGUGGUGCCUCAUGCCUGUAAUCCCAGAACUUUGGGAGGCCGAGGUGGGCAGAUCACAAGGUCAGGAGAUUGAGGCCAUCCUGGCGAACAUGGUGAAACCCCGUCUCUACUAAAAAUACAAAAAAGAAUUAGCCGGGCGUGGUGGUGGGCACCUGUAGUCCCAGCUACUCAGGGGGGCUGAGGAAGAAAGUGGUAGGGGUGGUCUGGGGUCCUUCUGGAGCGGAUGCUGUAGCAUCCUGAGAUCCAGGCUCCCUUUGUCCUCUGUCCCAGCAGCCCUCCUGCUGCCUUCCCAUCCCUCUGUUCCCCCCUCCUCCAAGGCAAAUGGAGGAGCAGCAGGCGGCCUGACGUGAUGAACUCAGCCACGAGGUAGUGGGGGAGGCCCCAGCUUCUCUCCUCUUGCUUGGCUUCCUUGCCAGCAGGGACGGGAGACUUCACUGUGGGCCUUGCCAUUCCCAUUUCUCACUCCCCCUCCCCUCCCCCACUGCUGUGAGACACAGGAAAAUCCAUAGGCCCAAGAUUCAUUUUCUCCGUUGAGUCAGCAGAGGCCAGCGCUGCUUCUGAGGGGCAGGCAACUGGCUUUUAAAUAACUCUCUGAUAUUUAAUACCCUCCUCCUCCGCUCUGUGGCCUGGGCCUCUGGGGAAAGGCUAGAAUAAAUGAGCUGGAUGCGUCCUCCGAAAGUCCUAAAUGUUCUUACCCCCACCUCAGUCUUCCCCCCAACCCCCAACUCUCAGACCAUUGGAAAAGAUGACUCCUUACUACAUCUGUACCUUGCUUUACAGUUUCUAAGUGGUGGCAGGCUGGGUUUGUUGUCCCAGUUUAGAAUGGGAAAUGGACAUUUAGAAAAGGAGAGAGAUCCCACUUGACUUUUGGUCUUUGUCUGCUGUUGGCUGGCUGUGUGGCUGUGGGCAGGUGGGUCCCUGUCCCUCCCUGGGCUUCUGUUUCCUCAUCUGUGCUGCAAGGUGGUUCGGCCAGUGGGUUGUUGUUGGUCCCCCUUGGCUGUGUAAUGUUAUGAUUUGCUGUGCUGGCCUAGGUCUCCUUCCCUAAUGAAGCCUCUGUUUCUCCACUCCUCUUCAAGGAAAGGCUAAAGGGCAGAGCCGACUGAGGCUAAAGGCCAGCUAAGGUCUGACCCCUAGGAUUCCACUCUGUUGAGUCAGGGACAGGAGUGGGUAGGGGAGAGGGGAAAGGGAAAGGAGCAGAGUUGGGUGCCUUCCCUUCCCUUCCCUUGUCUUCCCUUCCCUCCCCUCCACUCCCCUCCCCUUUCAUUAUUUCUUGCUUUUGCCAGUAGAGGUUGGGACAGACCAAGGGCAAUAACCUGUCUUGGUUCUCUUAAAACCCAAGGUCUCUACCACUGUGGAUGCAGUUUAAUGAGGUGGGAGCAAAACCCUCUUCCUCAGCUGUGCCCAGGCCCAGGAUCCUGAUCAUGGAAGUUAGUGGGCCCAGUUCUCCUGGUUUUGCCACUGUUCUGCAUUAUUCAGAAGACAGGGAUUGAUAUCUCUGUUGGCUAUAUGAGAACACUGGGAGGUUAAGAGCUGUGCUUGGGGUCAUCCCAGAUUAAUGAUGGAACAGGGCCUAUAAUCUAGGUUUUCUGAUUCCCAACUCCGUGUUCAUGCCACUUCCCUGAUUCAGGCAGGAAGUUGGGGCCUGAGGGGUGAGCAUGGGAGAGGCAGCUGGUUCUGUAGGGGUGACCUUUGUUUGCCCAACUUCUUUAGCCUCCUCUUGGGUCCUCAUGCUCUUCUUCAAUGUACUGAGCCUUCUGCUUCUAGAAUCACAGAAUCUUGGAAUCAAAACAUUGACUGCUAAGAACCACAGACUCAGAGAGCCAUAGAACUGUGGUCUCUGAAUUAGAACAAAGACUUAUGGUAUUGGUAGUAUGGUGGUGGUGAAUGAGACACUUAGAGCUUGUGGUAGGUUGUUAAUAUUGAUGGUCCCAAAUGAAUUCUGCGUAUCUGAGUCCAUACUUUUAUGUUGUCCCACCCCAUACUGACUUUGGGUUGGCCGUGUGACUUCCUCUGGUUAAUGAGACGUCAGCAAAUGUGAUGCAAGGAGAGUCUUAAAAAGUGCUUGUGCAUUGGGAUUCACCUCUUCUUGCUCCCCUGAAACUGCCAUGUGUAGGAACACAAGCAUGCCUUUUAGAGGAAGAGACCAGAAGUAAACCAUCCCAGCUGGAGAUGAACCAGCUCCCUGAUGGUCUUCCGCCUGCCUCCAGCCACCUGAGUGACCCCAGAUAAGACCAACAGAACUACUCAGCUGACCCGAGCCCAAAUUUCUGACUCACAGAAUUGUGAACAAAUAAAAUGGUGGUUGUUUUAAGUCA